rnacentral:rRNA from 1 species
AUACGUAGGUGACAAGCGUUAUCCGGAUUUACUGGGCGUAAAGGGCGUGUAGGCGGUCUUGCAAGUCAGAAGUGAAAUUCCUGAGCUCAACUCGGGCGCUGCUUCUGAAACUGCAGGACUUGAGUGCUGGAGGGGAUAGCGGAAUUCCUAGUGGAGCGGUAAAAUGGGCAGAUAUUAGGAAGAACACCGGUGGCGAAGGCGGCUAUCUGGAAAAUAACUAACGCUGAGGCGCGAAAGCGUGGGUAGCAAACAGGAUUAGAUACCCUGGUAUUCCACGCCGUAAACGAUGAAUACUAGGUGUAGGGGGUGUCGACUCCCUCUGUGCCGCAGUUAACACAAUAAGUAUUCCGCCUGGGGAGUACGGCCGCAAGGUUGAAACUCAAAUGAAUUGGCGGGG